UCCGUAGUUGGCAAGCGUUGUUCGGAAUUACUGGGCGUAAAGCGCACGUAGGCGGAUUGUUAAGUGAGGGGUGAAAUCCCGGGGCUCAACCCUGGAACUGCCUCUCAUACUGGCAAUCUCGUGUUCGAGGGAGGUGAGUGGAAUUCCGAGUGUAGAGGUGAAAUUCGUAGAUAUUCGGAGGAACACCAGUGGCGAAGGCGGCUCACUGGCUCGAUACUGACGCUGAGGUGCGAAAGCGUGGGGAGCAAACAGG
rnacentral:misc_RNA from 1 species